rnacentral:rRNA from 1 species
UACGUAGGGUGCGAGCGUUGUCCGGAAUUAUUGGGCGUAAAGGGCUCGUAGGCGGUUUGUCGCGUCGGGAGUGAAAUCCACUGGCUUAACUGGUGGCUUGCUUUCGAUACGGGCAGACUGGAGGUAUGCAGGGGAGAACGGAAUUCCUGGUGUAGCGGUGAAAUGCGUAGAUAUCGGGAGGAACACCUGUGGCGAAGGCGGCCCCCUGGUUGGAUACUGACGCUGAGACGCGAAAGCGUGGGGAGCAAACAGG